rfam:Flavobacterium flevense strain DSM 1076 genome assembly, contig: Ga0131122_111
AUAAGGUGGAAACCAGCAACCACGGUAAAAAACGGGGCUAUUCCGAAAAGCCAAAAGAGUAGGAAACUA